rnacentral:lncRNA from 1 species
UCAGAUAUAGUAAAAAAAUAUUAUGACUAGAAAAAAAAGAAUACAAAGUCUGCUAGAUUGACAUCCGUCAGAACCAAUCUAGGCAAAAUGGUUAUCCCAAUGGACCCAAAAAAAUAAUUGUCCAUGAAAAAUUUAGGGAUUAAACAAAAAAAAGACAAGCCUGCUAAGUUGAAAACCCGAAAGGGUGACUUAGGCCAAAAUGGCAUCCUGGUGGACAAAAGAAUAAAAAAA